rnacentral:rRNA from 1 species
UAAGACGAACCGUGCGAACGUUAUUCGGAAUUAUUGGGCUUAAAGGGCGCGUAGGCGGCAAGUUAAGUGGAGGGUGAAAUCCUGGCGGCUCAACCGCGGGAUUGCCUUGCCAUACUGGCUUGCUCUGAGGGAGGUAGGGGUCGGCGGAACUUCCGGUGGAGCGGUGAAAUGUGUUGAGAUCGGAAGGAACGCCCGUGGCGAAAGCGGCCGACUGGACCUUUUCCUGACGCUGAGGCGCGAAAGCCAGGGGAGCAAACGGGAUUAGAUACCCCGGUAGUCCUGGCCUUAAACGAUGGGCACUGGGUAGGGAGCGUGCCGAUGACGCCCCCUGCCGCAGCGAAAGUGUUAAGUGCCCCGCCUGGGGAGUAUGGCCGCAAGGCUG